rnacentral:rRNA from 1 species
UAAAACUCAAAGGAAUUGACGGGGCCCGCACAAGCGGCGGAGCAUGCGGAUUAAUUCGAUGCAACGCGAAGAACCUUACCAAGGCUUGACAUAGCCGAGAACGCUGUAGAGAUACAGAACUCUUUGGACACUCGGUUACAGGUGGUGCAUGGUUGUCGUCAGCUCGUGUCGUGAGAUGUUCGGUUAAGUCCGGCAACGAGCGCAACCCUCGUCCUAUGUUGCCAGCACGUUAUGGUGGGAACUCAUGGGAUACUGCCGUGGUCAACACGGAGGAAGGUGGGGAUGACGUCAAGUCAUCAUGCCCCUUAUGUCUUGGGCUUCACGCAUGCUACAAUGGCCGAUACAAAGGGCUGCGAUACCGCGAGGUGGAGCGAAUCCCAAAAAGUCGGUCUCAGUUCGGAUUGGGGUCUGCAACUCGACCCCAUGAAGUCGGAGUCGCUAGUAAUCGCAGAUCAGCAACGCUGCGGUGAAUACGUUCCCGGGCCUUGUACACACCGCCCGUCAAGUCAUGAAAGUCGGUAACACCCGAAGCCGGUGGCCUAACCCUUGUGGAGGGAGCCGUCGAAGGUGGGACUGGUGAUUAGGACU